rnacentral:rRNA from 1 species
GGUGAACGCUGCCGGCAUGCUUAACACAUGCAAGUCAACUGUGGCGGACGGGUGAGUAACGCGUAAAGAACUUGCCUCACAGUUAGGGACAACAUUUGGAAACGAAUGCUAAUAACUGAUACUGGGAGCGAGCUUUGCGUACCAUUAGCUAGUUGGAGAGGUAACGGCUCACCAAGGCGAUGAUGGGUAGCCGGCCUGAGAGGGUGAUCGGCCACAAGGGGACUGAGACGCCGCCCUUACUCCUACUGGAGGCAGCAGUGGGGAAUAUUGGACAAUGGACCAAAGUCUGAUCCAGCAAUUCGGUGUGUACGAUGAAGUUUUCGGAAUGUAAAAUGCUUUCAGUUGAGAAGCGGUACCAACAGAAGAAGUGACGGCUAAAUCCGUGCCAGCAGCCGCGGUAAUAC